rnacentral:ncRNA from 2 species
UGAUAGCUGUGAAGCGUGAGGUUGCUGACCACAAAGUGGGCAGGUUUUCCGUGGAGCGAAUGUCAAGUUAGGAAACUGGCGACAA